GUGAAUUCGGUGCCAGGCCUUUCAAUCACCUGUCGCAUCGUCCUCGCCCAAACCCUGUCAGGUCGGUGGGAUUGGCUUUCCCACUUCACAGAUGAGGAAACAGGUGGUUAAGCUGCUCUCCCCAGGCCACACGCCCAGGAAGGGACAAAGCGGAGAUUUAAGGAGACAUGGGAUUCUGACCCACGAUGCCAUACCCUAGAAGGGGCUGAUAUUCCUUAACUGUCACUCUGGAGUACCCAGGAGGGAGACGUCUUAGUAUCACUGUCUUCUAUGCAAAGGCACAGCUGCGAAGAAGGCGCUCCUUCCAGGUGCCCUACAACAUGGAGGAUACAGAUGUUUUCCCAAGGAGAUGCCCCAAACAGGUGUUUCACAAGUGCAUCCUCGACAGGUGGGCCUCUGUACAGAUGUUCCUCAGACGAGGCUGUUUCCUUCACCUCUCGGGGAUGUUUCUCAACAGGAAUGCAUGAUACGGCCCCCCCACAGGUGUGUUCCAGUUGAGUAUUAAGCCACAUAGUUCUGUUUCCAUAUAAUUGGGUCCCAAAUAGGUUACUUAAAUGCAAGUGUGUCUCAUACAGGUCUUUCCAACACUUGUUCACACAGGAAUUCCUCACACAAGUAUUGUUCAUUUCAUAAGUGGGAAUACAGAUGUGUUUCCAAAACAGCUGUACCCUAUGUCAGGGUGGUCUUUUUUUUUUUUUUUUGGUGAAGAAGAUUGGUCCUGAGCUAAGAUCUGUUGCCAACCUUCCUUUUUUUGUUUCUCCCCAAAGCCCUGUACAUAGUUGUGUAUCCUCGUUGUAAGUGUCCCGAGUUCCUCUACGUGGGACGCCGCCACAGCAUGGCUUGAGUCGUGUGUAAGUCUGCGCCCAGGAUCUGAACCGGCGAACCCCCAGCCGCUGAAGCGGAGCGCGCGAACUUAACCAGUGUCACCCGGCCGGCCCCAGGUGUUAUAACGCAGGUGUGUUCGCUACAGCCGUUCCCCACACAGGUGUGCUUCCAUUCAGCUAUACUCCAAAUAGAUAUGGUUCAAUGCAGAGGUCUUCCAUACAGGUUUGCUCCCACGCAGGUGUGUACCACCCGGGUGUUUUUUCAUCAGAGGCUCCCCAUCCGAGUCUGCCUCAGACAGGAGUGCCUCAUACCCCGAUGUCUCCGUGCCCAGGGUGUCUCCGCACCUGUGCGAUCUUGCAGACGCGCCCGCCAUCCAGGCAGGAGGUCCCUCUGAAACCUGCGCGCUCCCGCCCCUUUUGACUCCUCCCCCUUAUAGGAUUGGAUUCCUGUUACAGGUGCGCCUGCUGCGCGGCCCCGCCCCCCAGCUUGGCUCCGCCCUCUCAUCUGGGCUCAGGUGCACAAGCCGGAAGUGCGCUCCCCUCCCAGGUGAGUGACUAAACUUUCCGGGUCACGUGAGCGGGCGGAGCUGGAGGAGCCCGAUCGAGCCACCGACGGACGCACCUAGGGGUCCAGAGAGGGACCCGCAUCGGGAACCUGAGCGAAGUCGAAGGCG
rnacentral:lncRNA from 1 species